GUCGCGUUUAGUCACAGAGGAAGAUGAAAGUAUUUUCAAGCACUGUUUUUAAACAAAAUUAGGAGAUGUGUUACAAUGUAAUUAUUGAGGAGAAGCCUUAAAGACUAAUUGGGAAAUAAUCUGAAGACAAAACUGAGGGGAAAAAGAAUAUUUCCCUGCCAACAGACGCACAAAGCACUUCAAUAAUAAGGAACGUUGAAAGAUUGAAUAAGACCCUUGGCAAUUAGAAACCUUCAUGUGGUGAGCUCCUCUAUUUGAGUUGUUAAUGCUGAAGAUUAGCAUCAGCUGACGUCUAAAACGUUUUUAUCCACACACAUUUUCAAGAACCUUUGCAUUCUUAAACUAAUGGUUUUUUUGUUGUUGUUGUUCAACCAUUUAGUUUCAGAGCCUUAAAAAAAAGGCUUUCUGGAAAGCCUACAUAGAAAAAACAAGUAAGUUUCAUUUCUUUUGUUCUCGUCUGAUCAUAUGGGGUGAUAAUAUGAUGAUUACCUAGAAAUGUUGAUACCCAUCUGAGAGUGGUAAGAAUUUAAAUGAGUGAUUUUUUAGUUCUUGUAACCUGGAAACAGCGUAGAGUAGAAUUUGAUAAAAUGCACAGAUUAGAACAAAAUGGAAUUACACAUGUUUAGCUGCUCUAGGGUUUAUGAAGCUUGCUAGUUCCUUUUUUUUUCCCCCUCAUGCAAAAAUGUAAGUAGUAUUUUAUUCUCACAGAUAUUUCUAGUUUUAUUGAGGUCUAUUUUUUAAUUAUUUAAACUGUACUAUCUGUAAAUGGUCACUAGCCUUUAUCCAGACACCAGCCUCAUUUCCUUGGUAUCUUUUUCUAUAAUCUGAAGUAAAUCCAAAGUGGUAUUUUAUUUUUCACUCUUUUGUGAAUUCAUUUUCAACAAAAGGAUCGAAAUAACUCCUGGGUCUUAUGACAAGGGUAGAAUCAAUGCAAUUACUGAGUUAUGAAAGGAUAUUAAAAUAUACCACAAUGACUGCAACUCAGUAAAAUCUGCAAUCUGAUCCCCAACUAAUAAGAAGUUGAAGGGAGCUGAAAAACAUUAAGCAUGGUUUUCCGAUUGUGAGUUUUCACAUGGGUGCAUGGAGGAAGGUCAUCAAUCAACACACUGCAUGUUAGUCCUCUGUUGAUGAGGAUGUACUUUCUGACUUUUGAAGACUUAGGCUUACCUCUGUCUACUGUAAAUUGGACUGAAGGCAUCAGUGACUGAAACUAAGUCUGGUGUUGUAAGAUGUGCUGUGAUGCAUAUCUAUUACUAAAACUCCAUGAUGUUCACCAGGUUUCAGUUCAUCUCCCUUCUCUUUGAAGGCACAUUGCUUACCAGAUGCAAUAAGCGUUAGACCACUAGACCUGAUAUUUUGUGCUGCCUCUGGGCCCAGAAAGAUAAGCACACUUCCAGCGACAGCAAUCUGCUUUAACCUUUUAAUGUUUAUUCAAGGGAGGACUGGAAUUGAACUCUUACAGUGUGUGUACUUAAAAAAUACUUCAUCUAAACCUGUGACAGCAUUAAAUUUUUAAGCUGAUUAUCCCGUGUUGGUUUUUUGUUUGUUUGUUUGUUUGUUUUUUUCCAACCAUCUUGUUAGGCAGUGGAUAUAUUCAUGUUCCUUCAAUUUCACAGGAUUGUCAGCAGCACAGUGGGUCAUCCUUCAAGUGUCAGAACAGCAAAAGGAGGAGGCUGCCAAAACUGGGAAUGGAGAAUGAAAUUAAGAACAGAGUGUAAUGUAGGCAGGCUUCUUUUAUGCCAGCCUAGAUAAUCCUGUUGCUUGUAAUGCAGCGUACUGCCACUGAAAGACAAAUAUUCCUCUCCUACUUUUCAUUGAAGAUUUGUUUUUAAAUAACAUUGAGACUUUAGAGUUUUUGCGGAAUCUCAGUACUUUGAGCAUCUCUGGUACUUCAGUGAAACCACAAGCUACCAUUCAAUUUUUAAAAAUUCCUCUUUGGGUUUGGCUGUUGGCUUUCCUGGCUUAACAUGUUGUGCAGAUGCUGAGUCUAUUUCAAGCCUAAAUGUGUACUUUCAUAGCUAAGCUGGGUGCUCUGCAAAUGAAAUGCUCAAUUAAACACGAGGCAGGAGGCUGCCAUUGGUGCAUGCAGUAUUUCUCCUUGAAAUCAGUUGUGGAAAUUGCCACAUAGCUCUAACCUUCUAGUUGCUUUUUUAUCAGUCCCACAGUGGUGACUGAGCCAAUUUCAAUUUAACAUUCAACUUAAACCACUCAUGUAGUCAUGGCUGUAGAUGCACAUUGCUUAGAUUCUUAAGCUAAAAUAAAUCAGUUUGGUAGCAAUAGUGUGGUAGCUCUCAGAUGUGCAAGGCAUCACUAAAAAGGAUACAAAACUUAACCAGUACCUGUUUGGGCAUAGAUACAAUAGGGAUUUAAUUGCCUAGAAAUUAGGCUUUGCAGCACUCUGCUUAACUCUAGAAACAAGUAAGACCUUAUAAGGAAUGAAGUACUCUUGGAUAAAGUGCAAUCUGGAUAUAGAAGCAGACUUUAUAAAUUUUGCUCUAUUUGUUUUUGUCUGUCUUAUUUAAAUAAUAACCAAACUUAAAUGCACAAAAAGUUCAAAUUUUGAAUGAAAUUUGAAUGCAAUUAGUAACGCCACUGUGAAUUUUCUAAAUAUAUUGCUGAGUAGAAUACCAAUUAAAUAUUUUCAAUUUAUUUUUUUCCAGAAUUCAAUGUCCUUGGUUAGCUUAACUUAUUUAGAAACAAUUUUUGUUCUUCAGCAUGAAGUAAAACUGUGACCAUAGAUCUUAUAGAGCUGAACAGUCUAUUUAGCAAGUUUUCUAUUUCAAGAUUCAGGAGCCUUAAAAUUAUGGAUGCACUGUCUGGAAUGAUAUAUAAGCUUUCUGCAGAAUGCUUGCCUUUAUGAACUGUGUUUCUUUAAGAUUUUUUUUUAUUUAAAACAUAGCUUGUUCCGUUUUACUUAGGUGCAUGAAUUACAUGUUGCAGUAGCAAUAAUGCACUUCAGGCAAUUCAUUUCCAGUUGAGUUUUGCUUUGCCUGAGUGCUUAAAAAGCCACUGGCUUCCCAUCUUGUACCUUCUAAUGCCCCCUGCUGUGUGCAGUAACCAUUGGAGAAAUUCACUGUUUGUCAUAGCUUAUUGGUUCUUUUUUUUUUCUUUUUUUUUUUUUCUUAUUGUUUUUUUUCUUUUCUUCCCAUGAAAGCCAUCCUACGGGGAGAAAUUGGUAAUGGAAUUCACUAUCUCAUAAAAAGAAGCAUUAACAUAGAGAAAGAAGAAGAAUAUUCUGUGUCAUACUUGGUGAAAUGUGAUGUGGAUAUAAAUUUAGAACAUGCCAUGUCUUCUUAAAAAAUCCCAUCUGGUGAUCUCUGCCUUUGGGAACUGAAUGCGUUGCAGAGAGCCUCAGGUGGCAUGGGACACUGAGGAGAUGUCCACCGACUGUGAUGUAAACAUGGUUGUUCAAGAACAUCCUAAGUCUCAGCAUGGCGUUUUGCCCUCAGAUCUCUUUUUCCUUGACUAAAUAAGUUAAUGGAUGUACCUCAAGGUACUCCACAAUCAAUCCUGAGGAGAAUGAAAGUCAAUGAGUCCCACUCAGAAAUGACCACGGAGAAUCUUAUUGCUUCUUUUUAUUUAAACUUUUCCUUCAUUUGGCAUUAGAAAGGAAGAUAUUUAAGUCAGGAGCUGAUCUGUACCACAGAAGAAAGUGUGUUGGUAGGAAAGCACAUAAGAGCCAAGAAUGGACACAGCUGAUAUCUAAAGGGUGGUAAGUAAGUCAGUAGGACUGUGAGCUGACACAGAUCUGUGUGAUGCCAGAUCUAGAUUAUAACUCUUGGGGUUUAUCUGCUUAUCUUGACAGAUCAACUUCCAAUUCAUUUGAAAGUCAAUUACUCUCACACAAUCCUCCAAAGUGCCAUGUCAAUAUAUUUUAUGUACCGAAGUAAAAACAUAGGUAUUUAUUGGGUGCACCUAUAGGAUAGGAUGUGGUGAUAGAAUCUUGUUUUGGGGAAAAGAGGUAGGUAUAGAGAUUCAGUCAUGCCAUCAGGAUGAGGAACAUUUAGGGUAGAUACUUUCAGCAAUAUUAAGACUUUCAAAUCUGUUCUCUCAUAGGGAAAUGCCUUCCUGGGCAUAAGAUAUCUCUUCGGUUAGAUCUGUGCCUUUGUGAAAGAGCAAACUAAAGGUUUAAGGAUGUCAGAGCAGAAAGGAAUAUUUUGACUUUUGGUGUAUCUAGUCAGUUUUACAAGUAGAAGUGAUCUGUCUCUCCAGACUUCAUGCUGGCUGAAGUUGAGGCAGCUCCAAGUCAAAACCCAAGGCUACUAAAUAAUCUGAAGGGCAGGUUAUUAGGUUGGGCCCACUGCCAUGUCAAGGAAACAUCUAACUCGCUGAGGUAGCAGGCAGGCACUCUAGCUGAAGAACAAGGACACCUAGAUUUAGGGUGUCAGGAGAAGGUCUUGGUUUUCAGUCAGCAAGCUUAUUUCUAGGUUUGUAUCCUCUUCUUUGUCCAUAUCACAUAAAUAAAAAUGAGUUUGGAUUAAUCUCAGCAUGAACAGAACCAAGCUGUGGCAACAGACAGUCUGAAUUUCUCUUUUAUUUCUUCUCAUAGUGAUAUCACUAUUGACCUUUCACGUAUUUAUAGCUUUGUAAGUUAAUUACUUAUCUUCAGGUCAUAUCACAUAUUGUGCAUUGACUGCAAAUUGAUUUUUUUCUUGUUGAGCAACCCUAACUUUUAAAAACAAAGCUAUUGCAGAGUUUUAUUCCAAGACAUUAUUUCCUCACUUAGGGAUAGCUUGUAUGGUACAUUGCCUUGUUUUUCUUUCAUGAUCAUUUUAGAUCAUUAAAUUGUUGUAUAUUUAGUUGAUUAGCAGAUUAUUUUGUUUUAGGCUUACACAUUUUUGCCAAACAACAGGAAACUCUAACAUGUAAAAUAUUAAUAUCUUUAUUUCUUUUCAAAUGAUCUGUGCAUUAACAUUCCAUGAAUAACCCAAUUUUCCCUUUGGGUUGAUAAGUAGUCAAAUACUUCCACUAGGUGCAUUUUUAUUUUAUCAUUCAGAAUGUGAAUGUAUUUAAAUUUGACAGGCGGUUUAUUGGUGGUGAAUUGAUGUUAAAUAUAUGAGUGUUUGCCUAAUUUAGUUUGAUAAAUCUCAUCUUCAGUGCUACAAAAUAAUAGCUUGAGCAACCACCAAGACAAAAAAACUCACAACAGGCUCAUAGGCUCACAUAUUGUGGUGGUAUACUAAUUUAGGCUGUGUCAGCAUCUUCCACCAGGAACCAAGGAGAGAUUCCAGCUACUGAACUCUAGAACUUUAAAAUACUAUUUAUUUCUAGUAAGAAACUCUAAAGAAUAUGUGAAUGCACGUACAGUCUCACUUUGCAGUUUCUUGGUGUUCAGUAGCAAAAAUGUUAUAAUGUGACAUCUCUACAAAUUUCAUAUGUAAUUCCACACAUACACAUUCCUCAUAAAACUGCGUUCAUCUACACUAGUUAUUUAUACCAAAGGUUCAGAAUCUUUGCAACUGUCGAAACCAUCUCCUUAUCUUCAGUAUAUAUGUAUACUGAUAUAGGUUCAGUGUAUGUACUGUAAUAAUUAAAUCCAAAGCACAGCAUCAUGUGAGCCUCUGUGAAGAAAAUUAACUCUAUCCUCAGCCAAAGCCAUGAUAACUGUUUGCAAACCCAGUGACCCACUUUCUAUUUAGAAUAAUAGAACAGAAGAUUUCGAAAAUAUUCUUUGUUCAUUUGCCUUGCAGAAGGAUGUGUCAGGAAGAAAUGGUUAUUCUGUGCACAAUGUUUACAAAGGAAAAGCUAAUAUGAUGUGACAAAUUAUGUGUAGAACUGGAAUGAUGAAGUAAUUGAUCUUCUGGAGAUUAGUUUAAUUGUUGCUUUUUGUCUUUCAUAUACAAAUAGACAACUGCUUCUAUUAUAAAAUGCUUUGCAGCUCAAAGGGGAAAACUUAUUAGCUGCCUUGUUAGCAGAGUUCAGCAAAAUGUCACCUUCCCAGUGCAAGGUAUUUUUGUAUACAGAGUCUAGCAAAGGUAACUGUUUUCACUGCUUGGGCUUCAUAUACCUACCUAUCUGAAACUGAAAGAAGUAGCGCUUACAAUUCAGAUCUUCCUAUGGAAAUGUAUUUUUAAUUCACUGGAUAAAGUCUAACUCAGAUUGAUGCCACCUACAUUAUCAGCAUGUUCAAAAUCUGUGUAGAUUUAUAUGGAAUGUACUUACUGUUGUUUUAAGAAAUUGUAACCAUCAGUAAGGGCCUUUGAGAAAGGGUAAGUGUACUUAAAGACAGUAAUCAUUUCAGGAAUUAAGGAUGUUAACAUUUCCUUAAAAUACCUUUUCUUUUUGUGCUCAUGCAACCGUCUAUCACACUGGGUAAUGUGUCUGUAUUACUUUCUGGUCUGAAAACUCUUUAUUCCUAUUUCCUUGAUUUGCUAAAAAAAGAAAGAUAUUAGCUAGCAAGGGAAAACGAUCUUUUUAGAGAACGUUUCUACAGGGAAUAGUGUUGCCUCAGUCUUCCCUUUGGAUGGCAUUUUUUGCUCCUCAGCCUCUUGCUUCCAUCUUUCUGUUAAGAAAACAUUUACAAUUGAAAAAGAAAAAGCUGGAAAGAGAAACAAAGGUCAAGCAAUGGAAUCUCUUCAGUUCUCCUAUCAACGUUUAUGAUAUCCUGUGGUCUAUGUCAACCCAUGGUGGACCAUGCCAGUUUGUCUGUGGGCCUCCAAGCUGAACUGACAAACCUAGUGUUUAUCCUCAACAUUGUUCGCAUAUUUACAUUAGAUGUGCAUGAUAGUGAGAGUGUGCUUGUUUUAAAAGGAAUAGAGAGGCUGAAGACAAAACAAGUAAUAAGUUAUCUUGUCUGAGCUGUGUCCUUAACACUGUUCUAUGAUAUUAUUCCCAAAGGACAUAAAAGUCCCCUAAAGAUUAGAAUGACUUUUCACAUUGACAAUUCAGUUAAACCUUUGUCAGGUUUCAUGCCAUACCUUAUAUCCAAGCACUAACAUGCUAAGUUUAAAUGUAUUCCUCCUCCUAAUAAUAAAGAUUUUAUAAAAAUAAGUCAGGACUUCUUGCUACACAGAUAACCAUACUUCCCCUCUCUUAAAUCUAACAUAAUAAAACUGUUUUAUUUUUAUUUUUUGUUUGCUUCUUAGCAUUUCAAUAAAAUAUUGUUCAUUGUUGAAACCAAAGA